UUUAGAUAGCUGCUGUUAUCCUGCUUUUGUGUACCUGUUUUUGCAAGUGCUUGAUAGUUUCUCGCAUUACAGAUAGCUGAUGUUAUCCUGCUUUUGUGUACCUGUUUUUGCAAGUGCUUGAUAGUUAUCUCGCAUUACAGUCAUUAAUUUGUUGCUUUAGGGGUUUUAAAUUUCUAUGCAUAAUGGCCAAGAGGACUAGAAAUAGCAGACAAAAUCAGAUGAUACAUGAA